rnacentral:rRNA from 1 species
GAUGAACGCUGGCGGCGUGCCUAAUACAUGCAAGUCGAGCGAACAGGUGCGGAGCUUGCUCCUCUGACAUUAGCGGCGGACGGGUGAGUAACACGUGGAUAACCUACCUAUAAGACUGGGAUAACUUCGGGAAACCGGAGCUAAUACCGGAUGAUAUAUUGAACCGCAUGGUUCAAUAGUGAAAGACGGUUUUGCUGUCACCUGUAGAUGGAUCCGCGCCGCAUUAGCUAGUUGGUAAGGUAACGGCCUACCAAGGCAACGAUGCGUAGCCGACCGGAGAGAGGGAUCGCCCGCCCUAGAACGUGACCACGGACCCGACGACUGAGGGAGGGCCCAGUCGGGAAUGGGCGGCAACAGGGGGGAGUAUUACGGAGCGACCGCGAGCGUGUGAUGAAGGUGCCGGGAUCGGGAAACUGGGUUACGAGGUAAGAACAAAUGUGUAAGUAAAUGAGCCCGUCGUGACGGUACCUAAACAGAAAGCCACGGCUAACUACGUG